GAUUUUUAAAUAUUCAACUAGAUUUGGAGUGUUAGGUGGGACUCUUGGUUCCAAGCAACAGAAACAACUCAAUGUACCUUAAGGGAAAGGGGUAACUCCGUGAGAGGAGGGUUUUACCUCAAAUGGAGCUUUUACUUUUUCAGAUGUCAGCUACCCCUAGGGCUGUAGGGAACCACUUGCUCAGUAGCUCCUAGAACUCUUACUAUUUUGUUUUUUUCCUUCCCAAGAGCUUCAUUCUCUCAGAACAACUCUCUCCACCAGCCAUACUCUGGCUCACACCAAGCUUUAACACACACAAAAGGAUCUGGAUUUUUCUCACGCAGCUGUGAUCUGAAAUAUCCCCAUUCAGUUGACUGAUGGGCCCGACGUGCGUCCCAGAUUUAUCAACUGAGCCAGGUGAGGGAGACACCGUGGUGGGUUCAAGUGAGAGGAAGUAUCCAUCGGCAACCAAAUGACUACACCGGGAGGGCAGAGCUGCCGAAGAACAUGGAGAUGCCCCCCUCUGAAACCGGAGUUGGGCAUUUCUGAGAAGAGCCGUGGCGUGGGGAGGGGCCUUCCCAACCGUAAGUCGUGUGCGAGUGCAGGGGGCAGACACAGCACUGUCGCCCGUCCUCUAUGACGUGUGUUUGCACGACUGCUUCCCAGAUUUCCCUGCCCCCCACCUCAGCCCCUCCCAACCCUCACCCCAAACGCUCACUGGCUUUCUUCCCCACGUGGUUACCACCAAGCCUCUUCAAAAUCAGCGACUCGGAUGGAAAUAGUAUCCUCACAAUGUUCUGGAAUUACUGAGCGUCACCGUGGGCACAGACCGUGCAGGCCAAAGGCGCCUUCUUCCCGGGGUCACCUGAAGUGAAGCGGGUGGAGGUGCUCUUUCCUCAUGAAUAAUCCCACCUGCAGUUCGCUCGCACAUUAUUUCACUUCCCUUUUCACAUCUGCCGCCUGGCUCAGCCCUCUGCCACCUGGUGCUGCCUGUUGCCCGCCCCCCCCCCCCCAUUCCACAAUGCCAUUGCCAUUCAGGCCGUUCUCUUCCCGCAGGGCAGCACGGGGGCCCCAGCAGGCCCAUCCCCGUGUCUACCCACUUGGAAACAGUCUUGGUUCCUACAGCGUCAGGCCCAGAAGGGCCUGCAGCAUCUGGUCCAAGUCCUUUCAUCCUAUGCGGGCAGAAAUGAGGCCAAAUGACCACAUCCGACUUUCUCAAGGUCACCCAGAGUAUUAGUGGCCAAGUAUAGCUAAAGUCUUGGUGUUUUCUAGUUCCUAACCCAGUGAUGCAUCCAAGAACUGGACAAAACAUCCCGCAGAAAAUAGAAACAGAGUUGGUACAGAAAGCCACUCAAGCAGCAUCUCAGGCUCUUAGACCAGAAUCCCCCACCGUCAUCCUGCUGUUUUUAUACUCUUUUAAAAUAAAUAGGUCCCCUUUCCAGUCACGUGCACUGCAGGACCUCUCGCCAAGACAGGGCAGACCCCCCUCUGCUUGCUCAGCAGAUAGUUAUCAAACCAGUAUCAUGCUCAAUGUGGAAUGCGAAAACAAAAAAGAGAAAACAAACCCCAACCAACCAACCAAACAAACAGAAAACCCAUUAAUUAUGGUCCUUACCAUCUGAAAGUUUUCAACUGGUUUGGGGAGAAAGGCCAAAAAUGCUUGAUCAGAUUUAGGAUACAAGGACUGUGUCGGAGAGCUGGACAUGAUGUCAUCAAACAAGAGAGACCAGAUUUCCCAAUACUGCCCUUAAUCUUUGCAUCUGACGAUCAUCUGAUAUGAAAGAAAAUGUAGUAGAAACUUCUCCAAGCUGCAUAAAGAUGCUCCAGAAUCUCUGGUUUACCGGGAACUUGCCUUGGGUCUCCUGAACCGAAAAGCACAGAUCUUGCCUUCCUCCUGGAAGUUACCUUGUCCUUUGGAGCCGUAGGCCUGCAGGAGGUGGCUUCCUCUGGCUGGUGAGAAGCUGGCUCCUUUGUGCAGAGAGAUCUUGCCCUUCCAAAACCAGGGGCCGGACAGUGAUCACAAGUAGGAAGAGAGAGAGAGAGGGAAGCAGGCUCCCUGCUGAGCAGAGAGCCUGGCACAGGGCUCGAUCCCAGGACCCUGAGAUCAUGACCUGGGCCGAAAGCAGAGGCUUAACCCACUGAGCCACCCAGGCGCCCCGCACCUAUUCAUUCUUGCAAGAGUGACUCUCUUGAAUACCAGCGAAGUUCUGGACUUCCUCCAAGUAUCAGAAGCCUGCUUUUUAAGGAAGGCAGAAAAAUGGAUGGAAGGAACCGCAUGCCCCAAUGGCAGAGGAAAUGCACCCGGGGGAAGCUCUGUCCUAGGGAUUGUAGCAGUGGAGGCCCAAUCCUUCCCGUGUAAUCCCAGGGCAUGGCUGGAGAUGCAGGAAUCCGAGCGGAGCACUGCACUUAUUCAAACUGACGGAAAAACAAUGCCAUCAGCAUGAAUCAAUAGUAAUGGUGCAUUUGGC